rnacentral:lncRNA from 1 species
GAGUAGCUGGGAUUACAGGCGCGCGCCACCACGCUCGGCUAAUUUUUGUAUUUGUUUAGUAGAGACGGGGGUUUCACCAUGUUGGCCAGGCUGGUCUCGAACGCCUGACCUCAGGCGAUGUACCCGCCUGGGCCUCCCAAAGUGCUGAGAUUACAGGCGUGAGACACCGCGCCCGGCCGGAAAGUGGCUAUUUUAAGAAGAUUGAGAACAUGUUUCGUUGGGUCGCAUUAUUCUGCGUGACGAGGCUCACAGAGGAGAACCCCACCCUUACUCCAAAGGCCUUUGAAAGCAGCUCUGGAAAGGGCAGGGUUUGCUUCUCCCUCUGCCCAACGUCUCCCCAGGCUGCCUGUGCCACCUUCCGGUCUCACCUCCUCGGAGUUGGGGUCAAACGCGGAGCUCCAGUUUCUCAGCCCCUCCUGGAGCUCAAUGAUGUCCACCACGCCGUCCCCAUUGCAAUCCAGGUCUUCGAAGAGGAUCCCGUAGCGUAAGUAGUCAUCGCCAUCCUGGCAGGCCACCGCCUCCAGCACGAAGCCCUGCAUCCAGAGCAGCAUGGCUGGGUCCAGAGGCUGCGGGGACCACUCGGCCACCCAGCCAGCACCGCGGCACUCGUCGCCGCCUCCUCGACGCCUGGCUGCGCAAAGCAGGGGGUCCCGGCCGUCCGCCAGCUUCUGCAACUGUCUAGCGGAGCCGCCGCAGUUCGGAGCCCACGCGGGCCAAGCCGCCCGCGCCUGCGGGCUCUUGGGCGCCACGGAGAGGCUGCGCCACCUUGUGGGACCUCUGGCCGAGGCGCCACGCGACAGUUGAGACGCCAGAUGUGAGUUGAGGUGCCAGACGUGAGUUGAGGUGCCAGACGUGGCGGCGUUGGGUACCCAGGACCCUCGGACGGGUCUGCUACGGCUUGCUGGGGGUCCACUCCAGACCCUGUUUGCCUGGGUAUCACCAGUGGAGUUUGCAGAACAGCGAAGAUUGCUGCUUGCUCCUUCCUCCAGAAGCUUCUUCCCACAGUGGCAUCAACCUGAUUGAUGUCAGCCGGAACUCUCCUGCAUGAGGUGUCUGGCGACCCCUGAUGGGAAGUCUCAGCCAGUCAAGAAGCACGGGAUUGGAAGGGGGACCUCCUUAUGGAGGCAGACUGACUGUCCCUUAGCAGAGCUGGUGCACUGUACUGGAGGAAUAACCCUCCUUGGGAUCAGCUGGUCUCUUCAGAGCCAGCAGGCAGGAAAGAUUAAGUCUGCUGAACCUCGGACCAUGGCCGCCGCUCCCCCGAGGUGCUCUGUCCCAGGGAGAUAAGAGUUCUGUCUGUAAGCCCCUGACUGUAGCUACUGGAAUUCCUGCAGGGAUGCCCUCCCGGUGAGGAGGGAUGGCUUCGGGUCCCACCUAGGAAGCAGUCUGGCCACGAUCUGCAACAGCCACUUUGCUGCGUUGUGGGGAAUUCCACCCAGUCCAAACCUCCUCGUCUCCUUAGCACUGUCAGGGGAAAACCUCCAACUAAAGCCUCAGUAAUGACGGUCGCCCCUCCCCCUGGGAACUGAGUUGUCCCAGGCGGACUCCAGACUGCUGUGCCGGCAGCGGGGAUUUCAAGCCAGUGGGUCUUAGCUUGCGGGGUUUCCGUGGGAGUGGGACCCUCUGAGCGAGACCACUUGGCUCCCUGGCUACAGCCCCCUUUCCACAGAAGUGGACAUUUCUCCUGCCUCACUGGAGUUCCAGGUGCUGCUGGAGUAUGUAAAAACUCCUGCAGCUCAGUGCCUGCCCAAACAGCCGCCGACGGGAGCAGCUGUCAUUGGUCUGCCCAGUUUUGUAUUUGAGACCCAGGGCACUGGUGGUUGUAGGCUCCCGAGGGGAUCUGCUGAUCUGUGGAUUGCAAAAAUCUGUGGGAAAAGCUUAGUACCCUUGGUGGGUAGCACUGUCCCUCACCACUUCCCUUGGCUGUGGGAGGGAGGUCCCCCUGCCCUGUGCAGUUCCUGGGUGAAGCAAUACCCUGCUUCUUCUCGCUCUCUGUGGGUCAUGCCGACCAUCUAGUCAGUCCCAGUGAGAUGAACUGGGUAUCUCAGUUGGAAAUGCAGAAAUCACCCACCUUCCUCGUUCCUCUCGCUGGCAGCUGCAGACCAGAGCUGCUUCUAGUCGGCCGUCUUGGCCCCUCCCCGCCGAGGUAAGUUUAAUAAGUCUUCUAAAUUUGUCCUUGCCGUAAUGAUCAGUGAUGAUCUGUCUUUUAAUAAGUUAAAUGCUUUCCAGACUUCAAGACUCUCACCCACAUCAAAAAUAAAAUUAUAUAUCGGCCAUAUUACCAGGAUUUUAGAAUGUUGUAUUUUAUCCUCUAAUUAUAGGUCAAAUAACUAAGGUAGAAAGGAGUAAAGCAACUUCCAUGUAUGUAGUGAGGAUGUUGGGGGGUCUAGGACUAAAAUUCUGCCUUGGGAUUCCCAAGAGGUUGGUGAUUAUGAUUUUUGUACUCUUAGAAACAAAAUAAAAUAACAUUCUGUUUUGUUC